rnacentral:piRNA from 1 species
UGUGCUUGUGGGAAUACUAAACUCAUGU